rnacentral:rRNA from 1 species
UACAGAGGUCCCAAGCGUUGUUCGGAUUCACUGGGCGUAAAGGGUGCGUAGGUGGCCGGGUAAGUUCGAUGUGAAAGCUCUGAGCUCAACUCAGAAAUGGCAUUGAAUACUAUCCGGCUUGAGGGUUGGAGGGGGGACUGGAAUUCCCGGUGUAGCGGUGAAAUGCGUAGAGAUCGGGAGGAAGGCCGGUGGCGAAGGCGGCGCUCUGGAACGUUUCUGACGCUGAGGCUCGAAAGCGUGGGGAGCAAACAGG